AGCAGCAAACAAGGGUCCCUGCAGCGACUUUGAGAAGGUGGGUCCACCUGAAAAGAGGAUACUGGUUGGUCUGUCUCUGUACCUAGAAGCCAUCUCAGCCACCUGAUGUAUCUAGGAUAAUAAACUGGGUAUUUUCUUAAAUAAUCUACCAAUUUUUUAUAUGACCAUAGACUGGUUGAGAUGUUGUAUGCUGCCUAACUUGUGUGCCUAUGUAGUACAAUCAUUCCACUGGGUGGUAGACUAGGUACCUACCUUGUUCGGAGGCCCUCCGGGGGAUUCACCUGUACCCCUGUGGGCCAGUCCGAGCCUGCCUGUAGAAGUAAUAUACAGAUAAAUUAUAAAUUCCCUGACAUGGAGAGAGAAGAGUGCAAGAUAAAUGAGAAACUGGAAAAGGUUUGUUUUUAAUUGUAUUACUGGUUGAAUGACAAUAAAACUCACCUCCAUGGCCUCAAAAAUGUCUGCCGUAACUUCCUAUCCCUAAUAUGGGUAAGGCAAUCAUGAACACAUGUAAAUGUCAUGUUGUAAUACAUCCAACCACAUCCAUAAAAUGUAAUUGUCUCACACACAAAUAUGUAUUUUGUGAGAUUAAAAUGUACUGUAUAUGAAAUUGUAUAAUUGUGUCAUAGACCAAGAAGCUAUUGUAUUUCUUUGAUGUUCACUUUUGUUUUUUGUAAUGUCUUUUUUAUUCAGAAUUUUUUUUAUUGAAUUUAAUAAAAUAAAAAAUGGCAACUACAAUAAUCAAAUAUCAUGGAAAGGUGAGGCGCUAAAACUAUUACAUUUUAUUCAAACCAUUAAAAUCAAGUGAUUGUGUCAGCACACAUAUAUACACAAACAAAACAUUUUGCCUGAUGUGUCGACUCAAUUAUUGGUUACCAGGUCGAGUACACAGUGCAACAAUUGAUUUAAUUAAUACAGGGUAGAGGGUGCUAUGUGUCAUAUUAAUGGGGUGUGAGAGAUCAUUUGGUAACUGCUAGAUUAAUGACAAGUAUUUGCCAGCUAGGGAUUAAACCCUUUUUCUAUGAGUGGUGAUUUAAAGAAAGCCCGGAGAGCUCAUAGUGGAUAGAUAACAGACACUGUCACACUGCUGUGGCGUGACGGCAUAUCGGCACUAUGGCGCGGCACUUCAGUGUAACAGUGUUUGUUGUGUGUCCACUGU